rnacentral:misc_RNA from 1 species
GAUGAAGAACGCAGCGAAAUGCGAUAAGUAGUGUGAAUUCCAGAAUUCAGUGAAUCAUCGAAUCUUUGAACGCACAUUGCGCCCCUUGGUAUUCCAUGGGGCAUGCCUGUUCGAGCGUCAUUUGUACCUUCAAGCUUUGCUUGGUGUUGGGUGUUUGUCCUGAGGGACUCGCCUUAAAGUAAUUGGCAGCCAGUGUUUGGUUUUGAAGCGCAGCACAAGUCGCGAUUCAAAGCUAUACGCCCGCUUCCACAAGCCUUUUUCACUUUUGACCUCGGAUCAGGUAGGGAUACCCGCUGAACUUAAGCAUAUCAAUAAGCGGAGGA